rnacentral:lncRNA from 1 species
AGAAACGUAUAUCGAUGAGCUUUUCGACGGGACUGCAACUCCGAUGGGAAGAAAGAAGCCAUAAAAAAUUGUUGUGCCACACAAAAGAAGAGAUCAUCCCUGCAAAAUAAGAUGUGGUGAAAGCCAAAUAUCAGUAGCUAUAUAUGAUGCUGCGUUCUUUAUAAAUUAAUUAAUUAAAUUAUAUUGGUAGGCUAAGUUCAUAUGAAGAGCCCUGAAGAUUUGAUCAGCAUAUUUCGUUGGAUUUGAUUUCUAGGGCCAAUCAAUUAUCUGAAAGGUGAUUGAUAAUAGGGGCCUCAGUUAUUUAUCCCUUUUAAUUUGUCUUAAAUCAUUUUGUAUUUUCAUUUUAUUUCACUUCAUCUGUUGAUUAGUGUAAUCCAGAAUGCUGUUUUGUAGCUGUUCUUUCAUAGUUAUACAUUGUAUUUUUAUUGCAAUAUACAGCAAUUAAUUUUGUCAGAGAGAAUUACUUUCUUCUUUCAUCAGUGGAAGGAAUCAACUUGUAUAAAACAACUUAAUGGAAAAGAUACCCCUAAGUGGACAAGAUGAAUUGGUAUGUAAUUGAAUGUGUUUUUAGGUUAAUUAUUUGUUUUGAAGAAAAACACAAAAUUUAUGCUUCACCAAUUACAAAUAAUUUUGCUAUCGUAAUUAAGAAGAAUACAGAGACAGACAAUCAUUUAACUUCAAUUUAAGUUGUUCCUUUUCAACAGUUAAAUUACCUGGUUUGCCCUAAUUCUUCGCGCCACAGUGAAGAACGAUGAACGCAGGAAGAUGGAGAUAAUUUUUCUUGUUCUUCAACUGCAGAUUUUGAAUUUCCUUCAGUUGCCCUAAUUUAUUGCACUGCAAUGAAG